GAAUGCCCACGAAUCAAAGGAAUAAAAAGAGGAAAGGGAAAAACGCUGAGUUUUUAUAAACGGAAAUCUUCUGCUGACGUGAUGUUGUUCUUCGAUUUCGUGAUGGAGAUUUUAGAUAGCGGAGUAAUUGCCACCAUUCGCAAUGAAGAUCUUGAACACAAACGAGUUCGGAAAUCUUGUCCACAGACAUCGCUUAACCAGAAUUAUAGGAUCAACAAACGAUGACCGAAUGGAGAGCACGUCAAAAUGCUCCCACAUGCGAUGAUACCUGCCGAAAAACUGACUUUGGCGACAGUUAUACCUGGCUGGUUUAGGCGACCAAUUAAACGCGGCAAUCUUCAAAAAGGGCUAACGAGUAACCAGCUGAUUGGUUUUGCGGCUGACCGCUAAAUAUUAUGGAUUAUUAUGGACGGAUGGAUAUAUACCUUACUUUAAUGCAAUGUGUCUGACCAAGGCAGCCCUUGAUAUAACAGAAGAAGAUGGCGACAAGAAACCUUUAUUGAUAUAUGUCAAAGGAUUUGAAAAGUAGUGAUGGUUAUAGGAUAUUCUCAGCUAUGAUACGGAGAAAUUUAAUCAUCGAGGCAUUGGAUGCAAAAUAUUUUACAAAGACAAAAGAAAUCUUUAAAGGGAAUAGAUUCGAAUAAUAUAUAACGAUGUGAGAAAUAUC